rnacentral:RNase_P_RNA from 1 species
AGGGGUGGGCGCAUGAUCGCUCCGGCGCUGCCGGGGAGGAAAGUCCGAACACCACAGGGCACGGUGGUUCGUAACGCGAACGCUGGGCAACCAGGGGAAAGUGCCACAGAAAAGACACCGCCGAUGGGGCGCAAGCCCACAGGUAAGGGUGAAAUGGCGAGGUAAGAGCUCACCGCCUGCCUGGCGACAGGUAGGGCAAGGUAAACCCCACCGGGUGCAAGACCAAAUAGGGAGGCGUUUGAGGGCUGCCCGCCUGAUGCCUCCGGGUAGGUUGCACGAGAUGCCGGGCGACCGGUAUUCCCAGUUAAAUGAUCAUGCUCGGCAAGCGGUUUAUACCGUUUGCCGAGACAGAAUUCGGCUUACAGCCCACCCCUUUUU